GUGUCAGCCGCCGCGGUAAGACAGAGGUGCCAAGCGUUAGGCGGAAUCACUGGGCUUAAAGCGUGUGUAGGCGGAUCGUUAAGUGCCUUGUGAAAUCCCACGGCUCAACCGUGGAACGGCUGGGCAUACUGGCGGUCUUGAGCUGCCUAGGGGUCGCUGGAACAAACGGUGGAGCGGUGAAAUGCGUAGAUAUCGUUUGGAACGCCCAAGGUGAAAACAGGCGACUGGGGGCAAGCUGACGCUGAGACACGAAAGCCAGGGGAGCAAACGGGAUUAGAUACCCCCGUAGUCC
rnacentral:rRNA from 1 species